ACAACCAUAUAUAUCAUAUUAGUUCCUUGUUAUAGAACUUUUUUAUAUUUUUCUGUUUUAGUAACUGAAAUUCCCUGGUAGCUCAGCUGGUAAAGAAUCCUGCCAUAAUGCAGAAGACCCUGGUUUGAUUCCUGGGUCAGGAAGAUCCACUGGAGAAAGGACAAGCUACCAACUCCAGUGUUCUAGGUGUCCUAGAUUUAAAGAAGGAAGAUCAGAGGGAUGAUCGUCUGGAGGUGAUCACUGAUGAUGACAAAGAGGCUGAGGAAGCAGGGGAUGGCAGAGAUGGCUUCCAUGGUGAGGAUGGCUCUUGAGCACAUAAUGGGGUUUUGAAAUCUUGUCCAGUUAUUUCUUUACCUGGGUACUUGUCUAAGAUUAAAAUUUUCCCUGGGGCCUCU
rnacentral:lncRNA from 1 species